rnacentral:rRNA from 1 species
AUGUACCGCCAGAGCCGGGUCCUCGACGCGGCGGACCAGAGGCUGGGCGGCGAGUUUGACAGGCCGCAGAUGGAGCGUCUGCUCGUGACGGGGCUCUGGUGCGCGCACCACGACCCGAUGCAGCGGCCGUCCGUUACCGAGGCUAUAGACGUCCUGCGAUUGCAAGACGCAGAGUUGCCGAUGCUCGGUGGAACGAUUGGUGGUUCCGGGGACAUCCUCUCCUUGGAGAGACGGGUUUACGACGGUGACGACGCGUUAUCUGGAAACUCAAACUCUGGUUAUGUGCAUGCAUGCAUUCAAACCGAGUAUCUUACUGUCGAGUAUUCAACUUUUCUCUUUCCAUAA